rnacentral:rRNA from 1 species
GAUGAACGCUGUCUACAGGCUUAACACAUGCAAGUCGAGGGGAAACGACGGGGAAGCUUGCUUCCCCGGGCGUCGACCGGCGCACGGGUGAGUAACGCGUAUCCAACCUGCCUCUGACUGAGGGAUAACCCGUCGAAAGUCGGCCUAAUACCUCAUGGCAUCGUCUGCGGGCAUCCAACGACGAUUAAAGAUUUCAUCGGUCAGGGAUGGGGAUGCGUCUGAUUAGCUUGUUGGCGGGGUAACGGCCCACCAAGGCUACGAUCAGUAGGGGUUCUGAGAGGAAGGUCCCCCACAUUGGAACUGAGACACGGUCCAAACUCCCACGGGAGGCAGCAGUGAGGAAUAUUGGUCAAUGGGCGGGAGCCUGAACCAGCCAAGUAGCGUGCAGGAUGACGGCCCUAUGGGUUGUAAACUGCUUUUAUGCGGGGAUAAAGUGAGGGACGUGUCCUUCAUUGCAGGUACCGCAUGAAUAAGGACCGGCUAAUUCCGUG